GCAUGUGAAGCCAACCGGUGAGGCGCGAUUCUUAUAAAGUCGUAAUAGCAGGUUCGAUUCCUGUCAUAUGCA
rnacentral:tRNA from 1 species